rnacentral:pre_miRNA from 1 species
GAUUUCAACUAAAAAAGUCAUCAACAACAAAGUUGUAUAACUCAUCAAUAUCUAUAACUUUUAUUUUGGUCAUUUCUUUAUCCGACAAAGUAAUAGUAACAUUGUUUAUAAAGUUUACAUAUCUCUCUUAUAGCUUAUAAACUAUAUAAGAGAUAUGUACAUUUUGUGAAUAAUGUUACAAAUCACUUUGUUGGAUGAAAAAAUGACCCAAAUAAAAGUUAUAGAUCUUGAUGAGUUAUACCACUUUAUUGUUGAUGACUUUUUCAGUUGAAAUC